CACGGGGGGAGCAAGCGUUGUUCGGAAUCACUGGGCGUAAAGGGCGUGUAGGCGGUUUGGUAAGUGGGAUGUGAAAUGCCUCGGCUCACCCGAGGACCGGCAUCCCAAACUGCCAAGCUUGAGUAUGGGAGAGGAUGUGGGAAUUCCUGGUGUAGCGGUGAAAUGCGUAGAUAUCAGGAGGAACACCAGUGGCGAAGGCGGCUCACUGGCCCGGUACUGACGCUGAGGUGCGAAAGCGUGGGGAGCAAACAGG
rnacentral:rRNA from 1 species